rnacentral:rRNA from 1 species
GCGCCCGAUCAGGUUGUUGGUGGGGUAACGGCUCACCAAGCCCUAUAACCGGUACGGGCCGUGAGAGCGGGAGCCCGGAGAUGGGCACUGAGACAAGGGCCCAGGCCCUACGGGGCGCAGCAGUCGCGAAAACUCCGCAAUGCGCGAAAGCGUGACGGGGCUACCCCGAGUGCCGUCCGCUGAGGAUGGCUUUUCCCCGGUGUAAUGAGCCGGGGGAAUAAGGAGAGGGCAAGUCUGGUGUCAGCCGCCGCGGUAAUACCAGCUCUCCGAGUGGUAGGGAUAAUUAUUGGGCUUAAAGCGUCCGUAGCCGGCUUAGCAAGUCUCCUGUUAAAUUCAGCGACCUAAUCGUUGAGCCGCGGGAGACACUACUAGGCUAGGAGGCGGGAGAGGCCGACGGUAUUCUCGGGGUAGGGGUGAAAUCCUAUAAUCCCGGGAGGACCACCAGUGGCGAAGGCUGUCGGCUAGAACGCGCUCGACGGUGAGGGACGAAAGCUGGGGGAGCGAACCGGAUUAGAUACCCGGGUAGUCCCAGCUGUAAACGAUGCGGGCUAGGUGUUGGGGUGGCUACGA